UUAAGUGACGAUAGCCUAGGAGAUACACCUGUACCCAUGCCGAACACAGCAGUUAAGCCCUAGAACGCCGGAAGUAGUUGGGGGUUGCCCCCUGUGAGAUAAGG
rnacentral:rRNA from 1 species